GUGGGGAAUCUUGCGCAAUGGGCGAAAGCCUGACGCAGCAACGCCGCGUGCGGGAAGAAGGCUCUCGGGUUGUAAACCGCUUUCAGCAGGAACGAAAAUGACGGUACUUGCAGAAGAAGGUGCGGCCAACUACGUGCCAGCAGCCGCGGUGACACGUAGGCACCAAGCGUUGUCCGGAUUUAUUGGGCGUAAAGAGCUCGUAGGCGGUUCGGUAAGUCAGGUGUGAAAACUUUGGGCUCAACCCAAAGCCUGCAUCUGAUACUGCUGUGACUAGAGUUCGGUAGGGGAGCGGGGAAUUCCUAGUGUAGCGGUGAAAUGCGCAGAUAUUAGGAGGAACACCGGUGGCGAAGGCGCCGCUCUGGGCCGAAACUGACGCUGAGGAGCGAAAGCGUGGGUAGCAAACAGGAUUAGAUACCCGGGUAGUCC
rnacentral:rRNA from 1 species